CGGAAGUGUUGCCAUGGAAACUAAACGCCUAGCGAGGCCUCGGCGUCGCAUGCACGAGCUCAUCUCGCUCACAGAGCACACACAGACCUCGGGUUCAGGGGCACACAGGCUGUGUACCUGAAGCUAAUGAUAUAUAGCAGUGGAGAAGGAUUUGAAUACGACUGUCAGAAGAGUGGGAAAAACAAGCAAGACAUGUGUUCUAACAGAAACGUAUGUUUUAUGAAGGUAAAACAUUGAUUACUGCAUUGAUUUAAAUAGCUGAAAGUGACACGGAGACUAAAAAAACUUACCCAUCUUCUUCACAUACCCUUUUCUGACUUUCAUUCAUUCUCAUAUUUCCCCUUUCUGAUCCUCUCUCCUUCCUUCUUCCCUUUCUUAUUUCUGUAUUCCAUUUUUCAUAUUUCAUAUCUUUUUUCUCAUUCUCCCUCAUUCCCAUCUUCCCAUGUCUUGUUCUCCAUCUUUACAUACUGCAUCUUCCUUUCAAUCAUUCUCCACUCUGUCUUUUGUCCUUUCUCUUUAUUUAUACCUUUCUUUCCUUUGUCCUUGUUUCAUGCUAUUUUAUUCAUAUUUAUUCACCCUCCAUUCUGUCACAUUUCUUUUUUCCCCUUUCUUUUGUAUGAUCCAGAAAAGCUUUAUUUCUUAUUACUGUCCUUCUCUCCUAUGUCUCACUCACAUCUCCUACGGUUUCUUCUCUCUCAUCUUUCUCCAUUUUUAGAGGCUUAUUUUGCCUUAAGUUUUAAGGUCCUUUCUGACUGAAUAUUUCCCCUUCAUCUAUAUUUUGAGCUCUUUUUUUAUUUCUCUGUCAAGACUUCAAUCAUUAUUUCAUUUCCCUUUCCAUUCCCUCACUUUAUCUCUCUCUCCUUCUAUAUCUCAUCUCUCACUCUUUUCUCUUUCACUUCACAUUGUUUUCUACAUAAUAUUUCCUUCUCAUCCUUCUUUCAUAUUUUGCCUCUUUAUCGUACUCUUUAUUUCUCUUUCUCUCAUUUCUCUUGUGCUUCAGCUUUAUCAACACUCUUCUUUGAGUUCUUCCUUCUUUUUUUAUAUUUUUCUUUUGGUCUUUUAAAGGUUUUAGUUAUUUUACACCCCCUCCCUCUUUACUUAUUACUUUUUUCUUUUCAUUUAUUUCUCCCUCUGUUUUCAUGUUUCUCUCCUCUCUCAUUCUUAAUACUUUUUACUCUCCUUAUUUACACUUAUCCUUAUUUCUUCCUCUUUCAAUCGCCUUCCAAUUUUCAGUUCAUCACUGCCUCUCACUCUCUCUCUCUCUCACUGUGUGUGUGUGUGUGUGUGCAUGUGUGUGUGUGUGUGUGUGUGUGUGUGUGUGUGUGUGUGUGUGUGUGUGUGCGUGUAGUCGUAAGCUCAGAUUACAUUCUGUAAUAAUGCGUAUCAUUCCUAAUGGUAACGUUGGGGGAGUGGAUGCAGUGACCCGUGUGUUGUUAUAUAACAUUGGGGAAUGAGCUUCCUGAGCCUGAGUGACUCGCUACCAUUUAUGCAUGCAGAGCGCUUGGCUGGGAGGAAAUGGAGCUCCACGACUGGCCACAGUUUUCUCCCCCUCUCUGUUCAGGCUGUCCUCCAGGGCAGCCAGCAUGUUUCAGCCCCUUUACAACCAACUCUAGCUGAGAAUAUUCUGAGCUCCAAAGUAAACAUCGGUGCUACCAAAUAUCUGAGGACCUACACAGGGUCAUUUGUCCUAAAGGUGCCCGUCUAACAGGAACCCGGUGAUAUAUAGCCAUUCUUAAUUAGUUAUACUUAUCACCCUGAUGUCCUUUCUAAGUUGCUUUUUAAAUAGAUAUUUCCCCCAUCUAUUUAUUAUUAUUACGGUUUCUUUGAAUUCCACAAAUGAAGUGGAAUUCCAUCGUAAUUUAAGGAGGCCUUCGUUAAUACAAAGCACACUAUAUAUGCAGCGAAUACAGGCCAUUUGGCGGACGUCCAAUUUGUUAAAACAAAAUUAUAAUUCGCUUUGGUCCAAGUUCCUCCUCAUUUGAAUUCUUAUUUCUUUAAGUGAAGCAUAAAAAAUGCUCAUGUGGUGAUGAUCACGAGCCUCAUUUGUGAUUCCCAAUGUAAAAUUAGCAUUAGCACAAUUAUUUUCAGUGACUGAUUUGGAUAAAUUUUUUAAAACUAUAAUAAUAGGUAAGAUUUCAAAGUUUUGUCUUAGACGCUUUUUCUUUUUUUUUUAAACAAAAAAUACACAUCGCCUAAUCACAGUGUGCAGUGGUAUAAAGUUUCAGAGCAAUUUGUAAGCUCUGAAGCUGCCUGUACUCUCUGUUACCCCUUUGAUCAGAUUCAAAUUAUGUUAUUUUCUGAUCUAUGAUGUGAUUCCCGGCUCAAUAGAAACAUUUUAAACGGUAAUAUAUUUGGUAUAAUGCAAUAGCUGUGAGUGUGACAUCAUUCUUUGAUAAAGAAAUCCAUUACAUUAAAAAAUACAUUACUGUUAUUUGGGAAUAGAACUAUUGAUUUUUUAUAAAUCUGCAGUACGUCCUGUGAAAUGCGCAACCGUGUUUAUCAGGUGAAAAUCAGAAAAUGUGUAUUUCUACCUAUUUUUAAAUCAAAUCAUUUAAUCCUCACUAUUCAAUGAAACCAACCAUACAUGAAAGUAUGAAGUUUCCAUCAGGAAAAAUAUAUAGUCAGUUGUAUGAAUAGUAUUACAUUAUUUUUCCAACUAUAUGCUUUAAAAUGCGUUCAAAUCUUAACACACAGCCCAGGUUGUGAUGUUAAGAACAACAAAAAAAAAUCAUUAGCUGAAACUGGUGCCAGAUCUGUUGUCUGUAAGAAACUACAGGAUGUCAGGAGUGUCUGCAGAGACAGAGAGCAGACUCGGAGGCUGAAUGGACGCAGUGUGUCGAGCUUCUGUUUCUGUGAUGCAUCACUGACGAGCCACAGCGUCCAGCUCAACCUCCUGAAGGACUGUGUACCGUGUGAAGACAACCUGCUCAGAUCUGUCCUAGCCGAGACGUUUUCUGCAGCCCGGCUGGUGUUUACCUUUGGGCCAAAGCUGCCGUGAAGUAUGUUAUUCCAUUAUGUAAUGCUAUGACUGGUGAGAACUUCAAUGACAGCUCGAUUGGUUUUCUUGUAAGCCAGUGUAUUCAUGGUCUUUGUUAAAGUGUUAAAAUCACACUCUGUGGCUGAGGCCCUGGAGCUUGGAAGGGGUCACUGCUAUGUUUAAGUGAACCAAAUGGAAAAAUUCAUUAUUUCAAGUCAUGUCUUUGGGUUUUAUCCACAUGUAAAUGUUGUAUGUCAGAUCAAAGAACAACUUAAAUAUAAAAUAAAAACUCUAAAAGCCAUUUAUAAUAUUUAUUAAUUUAUGAACAAAUGAAGACAAAGAUCAGAGUGCCGGUUAAGCCAUUGCUCAGUACACACUUUACACUUAGUUGGUGGACGUGUUCACUUGAUUGAAGAGCUUAU